GGAUUAGAUACCCUGGUAGUCCAUGCCGUAAACGUUGGGCACUAGGUGUGGGGACCAUUCCACGGUUUCCGCGCCGCAGCUAACGCAUUAAGUGCCCCGCCUGGGGAGUACGGCCGCAAGGCUAAAACUCAAAGGAAUUGACGGGGGGCCCGCACAAGCGGCGGAGCAUGCGGAUUAAUUCGAUGCAACGCGAAGAACCUUACCAACUUGACAUGUUCUCGAUCGCCGUAGAGAUACGGUUUCCCCUUUGGGGGCGGGGUUCACAGGUGGUGCAUGGUUGUCGUCAGCUCGUGUCGUGAGAUGUUGGGUUAAGUCCCGCAACGAGCGCAACCCUCGUUCCAUGUUGCCAGCACGUCGUGGUGGGGGACUCAUGGGAGACUGCCGGGGGUCAACUCGGAGGAAGGUGAGGACGACGUCAAAUCAUCAUGCCCCCUUAUGUCUUGGGCUUCACGCAUGCUACAAUGGCCGGUACAAUGGGUUGCGAUACUGUGAGGUGGAGCUAAUCCCAAAGCCGGUCUCAGUUCGGAUUGGGUCUGCAACUCGACCCCAUGAAGUCGGAGUCGCUAGUAAUC
rnacentral:rRNA from 1 species